rnacentral:miRNA from 1 species
AAAUGGUCCCCUAGUGCUCUGG